GGUUUUUGCCCACAGUUCGAUGCUUUGCUAGAAUUUUUAACUGUCCAAGAGCAUCUUGAGCUUUAUGCAAAAAUAGAAGGGGUGUCAGAUUAUCGGAUAGAUGAUGGGUGAAGGAGUUUGAUGCUAGAUGGAUUGGUUGGGCUGGUGUAAAUGUGCCUGAUGAGACUGGACAAAUUGCACUAACCAAAGCUUUAGCUGAAAAGAGGUGCAUACCAGUAUUUCUUGAUGAGGAUAUUGUUCAUCAGUAUUACAAUGGUUACUGUAACAACAUAUUGUGGCCACUUUUUCAUUAUCUUGGGCUUCCACAAGAAGACCGCCUUGCAACCACCCGUAGCUUCCAGUCACAAUUCGAUGCAUACAAGAAGGCGAACCAAAUGUUUGCUGAUGUAGUGAAUGAGCAUUAUGAGGAGGGAGAUGUUGUGUGGUGCCAUGAUUAUCACCUAAUAUGAUGUUGCACCGCCUCCACCACCUCCAACAGACCAAGUUUCAGAUGCAAAUUUAAGAGAGUCGCCAUCUAUUUCAGUUCGGGAGUCACAAGAUGAUUCUUAGUUUAUUUACAUUAAUUUACUAAGGAAUGAAAUUUAUGAAGUUUUUUUUAUGUUGGUAGGGGUAACCUUAAAAUGAUAACUUUAUGAUUUAUUUUAGUAUUGAACAUUAUAAAAAAUUUUAGCAUUAAACAUUUUAUUA